rnacentral:ncRNA from 2 species
CUCUUAUCCGGAGAGGUGGAGGGACUGGCCCAAUGAAGCCCGGCAACCAGCUAUCAAACGAAAAAAUGUUUUCGUAAGAGAUAGCAUGGUGCUAAUUCCUGCAGAAGUAAAAUCUUCUGAAAGAUAAGAG